rnacentral:rRNA from 1 species
UACGUAGGUGGCGAGCGUUAUCCGGAAUUAUUAGGCGUAAAGAGCGCGCAGGUGGUUGAUUAAGUCUGAUGUGAAAGCCCACGGCUUAACCGUGGAGGGUCAUUGGAAACUGGUCGACUUGAGUGCAGAAGAGGGAAGUGGAAUUCCAUGUGUAGCGGUGAAAUGCGUAGAGAUAUGGAGGAACACCAGUGGCGAAGGCGGCUUCCUGGUCUGUAACUGACACUGAGGCGCGAAAGCGUGGGGAGCAAACAGGAUUAGAUA